GAAGGUGAUGCCACAGUUGGUCCUCUGUAUGUGCUGGGAGAGCAGGCUGUUGACCGCCUAGCAGAGGUGAAAGGUCAGAGGUCUCUGCUGAGAGCACAGGAGGAAGGUGAUGCAACAGGAGUGUCUGCUGAGCCUGUGAUCCUGGCUGCUCUGGGGGCAGUGGUGGGGCUGGUCUGUGUGGCUGCGCUGGGGCCUGUCCUUUACAGGAGACUGCAGAGUAAAUCCACUGAGCUGACUGUGGAGAAAUAAAGGAGGGAUUGGAAACUGUC